AUUAAUUAAAUGAGGUAAAGAAUCAAACACAUACAUGCAUCUAAAAAAACAUUUAUUAAUAAUUAUAAUUUUAAGAAUGGUUUCUUGUUAACAAAGAAUGGGUUUUUUCACACUAUAAAGUGAUCAAGCAAUUUAUUUCUAGAUUCAUAAAAGAAAAAAUAUGGCUAAAAUUUAUAUAUCCAUUUGUGCUGUGAUUAUCAUUUUUUCCCUAUUUAUUUCAGUAACAAACUGUAUAGAACCACUGCCUAGCUGCGACCAGGAUUCCGAUUGUCCAAGGGAUUUGUGUUGGCCUCCUGAUUUUCCAAGAUGCAGGCAACAAAUGUGUUUGUGUUUCGCUAAUGAUAACUAGUCACUAGUUUCUCUUCUCUCCCCAAUUUUUUUUAAUCAAUUUUGAUCUGGAAUCACUUCUCUUGAUUGUUUUUUAUUUUCUUUAAUGUAAAUAAGUGAUAUCCACACUUUUUAGAUUUUAUUCGAGUUAGUACGGUGUUUGUCCCGUCUUGGUACGGUGUUUGAUUUUGUUCA